GUUAACAGCUUGUUUCAAACUUGUUACAACAAACUGGGAACAAGCAGUGCGAACACAACUUGUUGACAGCUUGUGAACAGACUUGUAACAACUUGUUUGCAGACUUGUUACAACUUGUGCGUCACAGGUAAAAUCGCACAAGCCGUAACAAACCUGCAGCAGACUUGUAGCAAUGCUGUUCCAACAACUUUUCAACAGGAUGUGUUCGCACUGCUUGUUCCCAGCUUGUUGACAAGUUGUCAACGGCUUGUUGAC